rnacentral:rRNA from 1 species
CUACGGGAGGCAGCAGUGGGGAAUAUUGACAAUGGGCGCAAGCCUGAUGCAGCCAUGCCGCGUGUAUGAAGAAGGCCUUCGGGUUGUAAAGUACUUUCAGCGGGGAGGAAGGGAGUAAAGUUAAUACCUUUGCUCAUUGACGUUACCCGCAGAAGAAGCACCGGCUAACUCCGUGCCAGCAGCCGCGGUAAUACGGAGGGUGCAAGCGUUAAUCGGAAUUACUGGGCGUAAAGCGCACGCAGGCGGUUUGUUAAGUCAGAUGUGAAAUCCCCGGGCUCAACCUGGGAACUGCACCUGAUACUGGCAAGCUUGAGUCUCGUAGAGGGGGGUAGAAUUCCAGGUGUAGCGGUGAUAUGCGUAGAGAUCUGGAGGAAUACCGGUGGCGAAGGCGGCCCCCUGGACGAAGACUGACGCUCAGGUGCGAAAGCGUGGGGAGCAAACAGGAUUAGAUACCCGAGUAGUC